GUAUGCUACUGUACCACAGAUCUAGGAUAGGAUUACUUUACUCCCAUACUAUCCUUAAUCACCAGGGGAGUGAAAGGUAUCUGACUCCGUAUCAGUUGUUAGGCUACAUGGAUAAUUUAUUGGAGACAGAAUGAAGUUUGCCAGCAGACAAGACAAGGUCGGUUUACCAUAUUGCAUCGAUCCUUGCUAUGAGCCACUUUACAAUUCAUACCAAAUUUGUUUAACUGAUUGUGUUUGCCUUUCAUGCCUGAGACACGGGUUCGCUUCCCGCUCCGUCAGUUCGCUACAAUGGUGUCAGAAAUGGAAUGGUGGCCGUGGGGUCAUCGAAGCGCACAGCCCGGUAUGUGUGAGGGAUCUGAGUGCCAUUCACAGUGUAUUCAACACAGAAACAGGAGAAACUUUAAAUGUCUAGAAAUGUCCGGAGCUACGGGUCAACCAAAAACACUUGUAACGCCCGUCGGAAGAAGUGGACCAAGCACACUCUGCCAACCCUGAUGUCCUUGCCGUGUCUGAAUCCUGGCUUAGGAAGGCCACCAACAAUUCUGAGAUUUCCAAACCCAGCUACAACAUUUUCUGUCAAGAUAGAACUGCCAAAGGGGGAGGAGAUGCAAUCUACUGCAGAGAUAGCUUGCAAAGUUCUGUCAUACU